rnacentral:rRNA from 1 species
UGGCGGACGGGUGAGUAAUGUCUGGGAAACUGCCCGAUGGAGGGGGAUAACUACUGGAAACGGUAGCUAAUACCGCAUAACGUCGCAAGACCAAAGAGGGGGACCUUCGGGCCUCUUGCCAUCGGAUGUGCCCAGAUGGGAUUAGCUAGUAGGUGGGGUAACGGCUUACCUAGGCGACGAUCCCUAGCUGGUCUGAGAGGAUGAUCAGCCACACUGGGACUGAGACACGGCCCAG